rnacentral:rRNA from 1 species
GGGUUGUGAGGUUAAGCGACUAAGCGUACACGGUGGAUGCCCUGGCAGUCAGAGGCGAUGAAGGACGUGCUAAUCUGCGAUAAGCGUCGGUGAGGUGAUAUGAACCGUUAUAACCGGCGAUUUCCGAAUGGGGAAACCCAGUGUGAUUCGUCACACUAUCAUUAACUGAAUCCAUAGGUUAAUGAGGCGAACCGGGGGAACUGAAACAUCUAAGUACCCCGAGGAAAAGAAAUCAACCGAGAUUCCCCCAGUAGCGGCGAGCGAACGGGGAGCAGCCCAGAGCCUGAAUCAGUGUGUGUGUUAGUGGAAGCGUCUGGAAAGGCGCGCGAUACAGGGUGACAGCCCCGUACACAAAAAUGCACAUGCUGUGAGCUCGAUGAGUAGGGCGGGACACGUGGUAUCCUGUCUGAAUAUGGGGGGACCAUCCUCCAAGGCUAAAUACUCCUGACUGACCGAUAGUGAACCAGUACCGUGAGGGAAAGGCGAAAAGAACCCCGGCGAGGGGAGUGAAAAAGAACCUGAAACCGUGUACGUACAAGCAGUGGGAGCACGCUUAGGCGUGUGACUGCGUACCUUUUGUAUAAUGGGUCA